rnacentral:lncRNA from 1 species
UAAGUUCCGGGAUAAAUAUCUACCCGAACGUAGAAAUCCGCUCGAGGGGCCGAAGUCACCUCGAAAAUAAUAAGUUCAGGGAUAAAAAAUUUACUCGAACGUAGAAAUCUGCUCGAGGGGCCAAAGCCACCUCAAGACUUAGAAGUCCACCUGAGGGGCCGAAGCCAUCUUAGGAAUAAUAAGUUGGGGAUAAACAUUUACCUGAACGUCUUGCGGACGGAGGUGCUCUUCCUCGGCUCCCCGUUGACGCCGCAAGGCAUCCCGAGCCUAGCUCAAAGGAUGACUCUGUAGGUGGCCCUCCAAAAUAAUAAUAAGCAUGAAUGAGUUGGUCAGGCUGAACCCAGUGACAUGUGGUAAUAGCUGGUUUGACUCCAUUAUAUUGGACCUCUGUGUACCCGGGUUGUUUAGUUGGGAUUGAUAGCUCUUUCUUUACAUGCGAACCAUUCUUGACAAAUUUAGACAACAUGUGAUAUUCUGAAAAUUUGAUGGAUCAGGUUCUAAUAAAUUGUAGAAAAUACUUGUGGACUUGAGUAGUGCACCUAAAACUCAGGCGGUGCCCUAUUGUGGUGGAGGUAUUAGUACUCUGAGAACGUCAUGCGAUUUGAUGCACACUACACUUUUAUAUUUUCUUGCUUUGAUAGUUGCCAUGCUUGAAAAUAUAUAUCAAUUAAUUACAUGUGUAUUAGCUUAAGAUUUAUUUCAUAUUUUUAUUAGGAUCUCAUGUCAUAUCAUUCAUGAUGUUUAUGGGUAACAUCCCUAAAAACCUUUACGAGACAAUACUCGUCCACUAGGGUAACCUAGGGGUUUAACGGCUUGUUGCACGUGCUAAGUGCAAUCGUGAUUCCUAUGAAAGUGAGUACAUAUCUUAGUUUUAUGUCUUAGCUUCAAUAAAAAGUCAAAGGUUAAACCACACCUUUUGCACUCUCAUUUUAUUAUUUGCUCGUUAAUUGCUAGAGAUUAGCAAUAAGCUAGUUGGGGGUGUGAUGAGAGCACAAAAGUGCGAUCUACACAUCACUUAAAUUAGUAUUAUUGCUAACAAAUAAUGAUAGAAGUGCUGUAUUAAUAUUAUAUUUUUUUGUUGGAUGCAGAUGAUCGUAAAUCAGAGUUAAGAUGCGUAUUUGGUACAAAUUGGGAUGAUGCAUAACUCCGAACCUGAUCAUGCUGGAGCAUAAUUAUUCUGAUCAAGUACACUUGCACCCGAGCAACACUUGUUUGCACAUCACAGUCCUUAGAGUGCAUUGGAAUUCUGCAUUGGAAUUCAAAAUAAAGAAAGAAAUCAGCAGCGUGUCCAGCUUCCUUCUCGUCUCAUCCCGUGCGUCCAUUUGAAGAAGAUUGCGAUGCAGCUGUCUACGUUCAAUCCCACGCGUCCGCCCGCGUGGAAGAGAUCCCGAUCCUUCUCAAUCGGGCCACAUUCUUCCGCCGUUAGCUCCUUCCCAUGAUGCAUUCCGAAGUUUCCACGCUCCAGCACUCUUCACGAUCAAGCUCCAUUCGUCCAGGCCUCACGAGUCCAAGAUUCAUCUUCAGCUCGGUGACCAUCCAGCACAUCAUACGAGUCCACGCGUUCAUCCCGUCGUUCGCAAGAAUCCUAGCAUUUCGCAUCUCUUCCCAGCGAUUUUCCAACAAAGAUCCGACUUCAUCCUAGCAUCCAAUGCGUCUCAGCCUUCCGAGUUCGCAUCCCAGUGCCUCCAGCCGUCCGCGUGUGGAUCUCCCAAGUCUUGAGUCCUAUCUUCCUUCCGAUCCAUCCGCUUCUUCCGCCUCGAUUUGCAUGCGUGCGAUCUCUCGUUUCUGCUAUCCAGCUGUCCCUCCGCAUCCGAAGAUAAUCAGCAUCCCAGGAUCCGUGAUCAGCUCCCAUCCCGCGUUUGGCCUUCUCGCAUCCGGCAUACUCGGCAUCUCCAUGUAUCCUGUGGGAUCAGGGAUCCAUCGCAACAUAUAGAGGGGUUCUCUUAGCUGGGGGGGCGUUCAUUCGAAAAACAGAGGAGGCCCCCUGCCAUUUGAAAAGAAAAAAAAAGAAAAGGAAACAGGGGAUGCCUUGUUUCCGAAAAUAAAAAGAAAAAAGGAAGGAAGAGGAACAGGGGAGUUUUCUUUUAUGUUGAUGGCCGGCUAAUCCCUUAGGUGUAGGGUGAUGGGAGAACCCUUGACUUGUUACUUUCUUGAAGUAAACUCUAAACUAUUGUUCUAUUCAAUUUAGAUCUUUUGAUAUGUUUUGGUUUUUUGCUUGCCUAUGUUGUAGAUAGUUCUUUAAUGGUUUAUAUCUAUUGAUGCAUGGAUUACUUUAUUAUUUGAUUUGUCGUAGACAUAACCGGCACGACAAAUGCUUAGAAAUUGAGUUCGUGUGUUCAAACAAUAUAUUCCAUGAUUAGAUCUAUCCUAUAUUUGAACUUUUAAAUCAGAAAUCGUAGAGUUUAUAUCUUGAAUGUACUAUUGUCAAGGGGGAUUCCAGAUCCCUACACCAUCUUAAUCUAUCCAAACUUCGAUUCUCUGUUUACUGAUUUAUUUUCUAUUUGCAAAACAUCAUCUUAAUCCACAAAUUUAUUGAAUUAAUUAAUCUAAAAUUAUAUUAAAUAAUCUCAUAUAUAUUUCGUUUUCUGAGGAUUCGACCUCGGACUCCUGAGAAUUUACUACUUGUACGAUUCUCCUACACUUGGGAGAUUAGUUUUGCGAAAGCAUUUUUGUGAACGCGUCACCUAGGAGAGCGAAAGACAAACAAUCGUAAAUUAUUUUAAGGAUAGAAGCCCGUCCGGGGCUUUUGUUAACUCAGGAGCAUAGGCGAGUUCGGGGACAAGCAACCUCCUGGAAGCAGAAAUUCGCUCAAGGGCCGAGGCCAACUUGAGACUUAGAAAUUCGCCCGAGAGCCGAAGCCACCUCGGAAAUAAUAAGUUCGGGGAUAAACAUCUACCCGAACGUAGAAAUCCAUGGGAUAAACAUCUACCCGAACGUAUAAAUCCACUCGAGGGGCCGAAGCCACCUCGAGACUUAGAAAUUCACACGAGGAGCCGAAGCCACCUCGGGAAUAAUAAGUUCGGGGAUAAACAUCUACCC